UACAGAGGGGGCAAGCGUUGUUCGGAAUUACUGGGCGUAAAGGGCGCGUAGGCGGCCCGCUAAGUCGAACGUGAAAUCCCCAGGCUCAACCUGGGAACUGCGUCUGAUACUGGAUGGCUUGAAUCCGGGAGAGGGAUGCAGAAUUCCAGGUGUAGCGGUGAAAUGCGUAGAUAUCUGGAGGAAUACCGGUGGCGAAGGCGGCAUCCUGGACCGGCAUUGACGCUGAGGAGCGAAAGCCAGGGGAGCAAACGGG
rnacentral:rRNA from 1 species